GUUGUUUGGAAGGCUGAUGCUCUGGUUAAAGAGUCAAGAGAAUCUUUUUCUUUUAAAUUAUUUAUUCUUUAGAGCAAUUGGGUGAAGUAUGUUUUUAUGAGCAAAUUUACCUUUCUCUCCAAGUUCUCCCAAAUUUGGAAACCCUGAGAAACCCUGAAAAUACUCUGUCCUGGGCUUAUAUGCCUUAGACACAACUGGGAUUGCUGAGCUCAAGGGUUGCAGAGCAUCCUACUAUGGGAAGAAUGAGGACAUAACUCAGAUUGUUCUGGAUAUUUCCCUCAUUGCUGAGAAUGCAGAAUGUUUCUGACCAAGAAUUGCAAGCAAGAACAGGAAAGAGUGGAGUCGGCCAAGAUGUUUCUGUUGGCAAUAACAUGUGCAUUUGUAUCCAAAACACUGUCUGGAUCUUAUAUGAAUUCCAUGCUCACACAAAUAGAGAGACAAUUCAACAUCCCAACAUCUCUAGUUGGAUUCAUUAAUGGAAGCUUUGAGAUUGGAAAUCUUUUGUUGAUUAUAUUUGUGAGUUAUUUUGGAACCAAACUGCAUAGACCUAUAAUGAUUGGCAUUGGAUGUGUGGUUAUGGGCUUAGGCUGUUUCUUAAAAUCACUACCUCAUUUCCUCAUGAACCAAUAUGAAUAUGAAUCUACAGUUUCAGUUUCAGGCAACUUGUCCUCAAACAGUUUCUUGUGUAUGGAAAAUGGAACCCAGAUUUUAAGACCAACGCAGGAUCCAUCAGAGUGUACAAAGGAAGUUAAAUCAUUAAUGUGGGUGUACGUCCUAGUAGGCAAUAUUGUACGUGGAAUGGGUGAAACUCCCAUCCUGCCUUUGGGUAUUUCCUAUAUAGAAGAUUUUGCCAAAUUUGAAAAUUCUCCUUUAUAUAUUGGGCUUGUAGAAACAGGAGCUAUUAUUGGUCCUUUGAUUGGACUUUUGUUGGCAUCAUUCUGUGCAAAUGUUUAUGUUGACACUGGAUUUGUGAACACAGAUGAUCUGAUCAUAACUCCCACUGACACUCGUUGGGUCGGUGCAUGGUGGUUUGGCUUUCUGAUUUGUGCAGGAGUUAACGUGCUCACUGCCAUUCCUUUUUUCUUUUUGCCCAACACACUUCCAAAGGAAGGACUAGAGACUAAUGCUGACAUCAUUAAAAAUGAAAAUGAAGACAAACAAAAAGAAGAGGUCAAGAAGGAAAAAUAUGGAAUCACUAAAGAUUUUCUACCUUUCAUGAAAAGUCUUUCCUGCAAUCCAAUUUAUAUGCUUUUCAUACUUGUAAGUGUGAUACAGUUCAAUGCAUUCGUUAACAUGAUCUCCUUCAUGCCUAAAUACCUAGAACAGCAAUAUGGAAUAUCAUCUUCAGAUGCAAUCUUUCUAAUGGGUAUUUAUAACUUACCUCCAAUAUGUAUUGGAUAUAUAAUUGGUGGUUUAAUUAUGAAGAAGUUCAAGAUUACUGUCAAACAAGCUGCCCACAUAGGAUGUUGGUUAUCCUUACUUGAGUAUCUUCUCUAUUUUUUAUCUUUUCUCAUGACUUGUGAAAAUUCUUCAGUUGUUGGAAUAAAUACCUCUUAUGAAGGAAUUCCACAAGAUUUAUAUGUGGAAAAUGACAUCUUUGCUGAUUGCAAUGUGGAUUGCAACUGUCCAUCUAAAAUAUGGGAUCCUGUGUGUGGAAACAAUGGCUUGUCAUAUCUGUCAGCUUGUCUUGCUGGUUGUGAGACAUCCAUUGGAACGGGAAUAAACAUGGUGUUCCAAAAUUGCAGCUGUAUUCAAACAUCAGGAAAUUCAUCUGCAGUUCUUGGGCUGUGCGACAAAGGACCUGACUGUUCCUUGAUGCUCCAGUACUUCCUAAUCUUGUCAGCGAUGAGCAGUUUCAUUUAUUCUUUGGCUGCCAUACCUGGAUAUAUGGUUCUCUUGAGGUGUAUGAAAUCUGAAGAGAAGUCCCUUGGUGUGGGAUUACAUACAUUUUGCACAAGAGUAUUUGGUAAAAAUAGUUAUUUUUUCCCACAUCCUAUCAGAACAAUAUUAUUAUUAUUAUUUUUUAUUACACUUUAAGUUUUAGGGUACAUGUGCACAACGUGCAGGUUUGUUACAUAUGUAUACAUGUGCCAUGUUGGUGUGCUGCACCCAUUAACUCAUCAUUUAACAUUAGGUGAAUCUCCUAAUGCUAUCCCUCCCCCCUUCCCCCACCCCACAACAGGCCCUGGUGUGUGAUGUUCCCCUUCCUGUGUCCAUGUGCAGAACAAUAUUAAAUACUAGAUAAACAAGGUAAUAUUAUUUCAGAAAAGCAGUCUAGCAAAUGUCCCUUCUGUAUGUAAAAAGCACGUUAUAAAUAUGAGAAUGCAGCACACAAAGAGAUAGAGAAUCUCUUUUACUUGAAAAGGCCCUGUCUGACCUUAAUUACACUAUUCUUUGUUUGAAGAUUUGAAAAUAAAAUGAAA
rnacentral:lncRNA from 1 species